CUGAACGCUGGCGGCGUGGCUAAGACAUGCAAAGUCGCACGGGCCUAGCAAUAGGUCAGUGGCGAACGGGUGAGUAAUGUAUCGCUAACGUGCCCCGGACUCUGGGAUAGCUACCCGAAAGGGUAGGUAAUACCAGAUGAGACCACAACCUCGCAAUGGGGUGGUGCUCAAAGGUCCGCCGGUCUGGGAGCGGGCGAUAUCGUAUCAGCUAGUUGGCGGGGGUAACGGCCCACCAAGGCGACGACGCGUAGCCGGACUGAGAGGUCGGUCGGCCACAUCGGGACUGAGACACUGCCCGGACUCCUACGGGGGGCUGCAGUAACGAAUCUUCGUCAAUGCACGAAAGUGUGAACGAGCGACGCCGCGUGGAGGACGAAGUCCUUCGGGAUGUAAACUCCUGUCAGGGGCUACCAAGUUCUGAGGAGCCCCAGAGGAAGGCACGGCUAACUCUGUGCCAGCAGCCGCGGUAAGACAGAGGUGCCAAGCGUUAGGCGGAAUCACUGGGCUUUAAAGCGUGUGUAGGCGGAACGUUAAGUGCCUUGUGAAAAUCCCACGGCUCAACCGUGGAACUGCUGGGCAUACUGGCGUUCUUGAGCCAGCCAGGGGUCGUCGGAAACAAACGGUGGAGCGGUGAAAUAAUGCCGUAGAUAUCGUUUGGAACGCCAAAGGCGAAAAGCAGACGACUGGGGCUGAGCUGACGCUGAGUCACGAAAGCCAGGGGAGCAAACGGGAUUAGAUACCCCGGUAGUCCUGGCCCCUAAACGAUUGUCCACUGGAUCGCGGUCCCUCUGAAGGGUUCGCGGUUCGGAGCAAAAGUGUUAAGUGGACCGCCUGGGAAGUACGGUCGCAAGGCUAAAACUCAAAGGAAUUGACGGGGGCUCACACAAGCGGUGGAGCAUGUGGUUUAAUUCGAAGCAACGCGCAGAAACCUUACCUGGGCUUGACAUGCUUGGAUUAUCCCGAUGAAAGUCGGGUAGGCCCCGCAAGGGGUACAACAAGUACAGGUGCUGCAUGGCUGUCGUCAGCUCGUGUCGUGAGAUGUCGGGUUAAGUCCCAUAACGAGCGAAACCUUUGCCCUUAGUUACCAGCGGGUUAUGCCGGGGACUCUAAGGGGACUGCCGGUGUCAAACCGGAGGAAGGUGGAGAUGACGUCAAGUCCUCAUGGCCUUUAUGCCCAGGGCCACACACGUGCUACAAUGGCGUCGACAGAGCGAACCCAAGGCGCAAGCCGGAGGAAAUCGUGCAAAUGACGCCCCAGUUCAGAUCGGAGGCUGCAACCCGCCUCCGUGAAGUUGGAAUCGCUAGUAAUCGCGGAUCAGCUACGCCGCGGUGAAUGUGUUCCUGAGCCUUGUACACACCGCCCGUCAAGUCAUGGGAGCCGGAAAUGGCCGAAGUCCGCCUUGAUUCAAAGGUGCCUAAGCCAGGUUCGGUGACUGGGACU
rnacentral:rRNA from 1 species